rnacentral:rRNA from 1 species
GAUGAACGCUGGCGGCGUGCCUAAUACAUGCAAGUCGAGCGAACGGACGAGAAGCUUGCUUCUCUGAUGUUAGCGGCGGACGGGUGAGUAACACGUGGAUAACCUACCUAUAAGACUGGGAUAACUUCGGGAAACCGGAGCUAAUACCGGAUGAUAUUUUGAACCGCAUGGUUCAAAAGUGAAAGACGGUCUUGCUGUCACUUAUAGAUGGAUCCGCGCUGCAUUAGCUAGUUGGUAAGGUAACGGCUUACCAAGGCAACGAUGCAUAGCCGACCUGAGAGGGGGGCCGCCCACCAGGGAAUGGGGCCCGGUGCCAAACCCCACGGGGGGGCAAGAGUGGGGAAUUUCCCGAAAUGGGCGAAAGCCUGACGGAGCAACGCCGGGGGAGUGAUGAAGGUUUUCGGAUCGUAAAACCUUUUUUUUAGGAAAAAAAAUAUGGGUAAGUAACUGUGCCCAUCUGGGCGGUACCUAAGCAAAAAGCCCCGGCUAACUACGG